rnacentral:rRNA from 1 species
UUAGUGCGGACGGGUGAGUAACGCGUGGAUAACCUGCCGUAUACCGGGGGAUAACACUUAGAAAUAGGUGCUAAUACCGCAUAAGCGCACGGCUCCGCAUGGGGCAGUGUGAAAAAUUCCGGUGGUAUACGAUGGAUCCGCGUCUGAUUAGCUAGUUGGCGGGGUAACGCCCACCAAGGCAGCGAUCAGUAGCCGGCCUGAGAGGGUGGACGGCCACAUUGGGACUGAGACACGGCCCAAACUCCUACGGGAGGCAGCAG